rnacentral:misc_RNA from 1 species
AAAGAAAUCCCCAGAGGCAAAAAAUUGUGGAACGAAGCCUGCGUGCAUUGCCUUGGAUUUUGUCUACCGCCUCAGCGUGUGCAGAAUGUACUCAGCAUAAAGGUCCAUGGAGUACUGGAUGGCAUCAACAGCAUGGUUUGAAGGCAAGAACUCAUUAACUGCAACCUCUUUGUUCUCAUUUUUCUUGUAAUCUUCAAAGAAACGACGGAUCUCAGAAAGGCGAUGAGGAGCCAACUGUUUGAUAUCAGUGUAAUGCUUGUACUCUGGAUCAUCA